GACGAACGCUGGCGGCGUGCUUACCCCUGCCCGUCGAACGGAAAGGCCCUGCUUUUGUGGGGUGCUCGAGUGGCGAACGGGUGAGUAACACGUGAGUAACCUGCCCUUGACUUUGGGAUAACUUCAGGAAACUGGGGCUAAUACCGGAUAGGAGCUCCUGCUGCAUGGUGGGGGUUGGAAAGUUUCGGCGGUUGGGGAUGGACUCGCGGCUUAUCAGCUUGUUGGUGGGGUAGUGGCUUACCAAGGCUUUGACGGGUAGCCGGCCUGAGAGGGUGACCGGCCACAUUGGGACUGAGAUACGGCCCAGACUCCUACGGGAGGCAGCAGUGGGGAAUAUUGCACAAUGGGCGGAAGCCUGAUGCAGCAACGCCGCGUGCGGGAUGACGGCCUUCGGGUUGUAAACCGCUUUCGCCUGUGACGAAGCGUGAGUGACGGUAAUGGGUAAAGAAGCACCGGCUAACUACGUG
rnacentral:rRNA from 1 species